GACGAACGCUGGCGGCGUGCUUAACACAUGCAAGUCGAGCGAGGCUCUGCUCUUCGGAGCGGAUGCCCUAGCGGCGAACGGGUGAGUAACACGUGGGCAACCUGCCCCUAGCACUGGGAUAACCCCGGGAAACCGGAGCUAAUACCGGAUACGACCACCGGCGGCAUCAUCUGGUGGUGGAAAGAUUUAUCGGCUAGGGAUGGGCCCGCGGCCUAUCAGCUUGUUGGUGGGGUAACGGCCUACCAAGGCGACGACGGGUAGCCGGCCUGAGAGGGCGACCGGCCACACUGGGACUGAGACACGGCCCAGACUUCUACGGAAGGCAGCAGUGGGGAAUAUUGCGCAAUGGGCGAAAGCCUGACGCAGCGACGCCGCGUGA
rnacentral:rRNA from 1 species